rnacentral:rRNA from 1 species
GCAACGCGAAGAACCUUACCAGGCCUUGACAUCCAAUGAACUUUCCAAAGAUGGAUUGGUGCCUUCGGGAACAUUGAGACAGGUGCUGCAUGGCCGUCGUCAGCUCGUGUCUUGAGAUGUUGGGUUAAGUCCCGUAACGAGCGCAACCCUUGUCCUUAGUUACCAGCACGUUAUGGUGGGCACUCUAAGGAGACUGCCGGUGACAAACCGGAGGAAGGUGGGGAUGACGUCAAGUCAUCAUGGCCCUUACGGCCUGGGCUACACACGUGCUACAAUGGUCGGUACAGAGGGUCGCCAAGCCGCGAGGUGGAGCUAAUCUCACAAAACCGAUCGUAGUCCGGAUCGCAGUCUGCAACUCGACUGCGUGAAGUCGGAAUCGCUAGUAAUCGC